CAGAUUUUUCUCUCGUGCUGAUGGAUCUGUGUUGCCAUCUGAAUGCAGAAGAGCACUAAUGGGGUGAAAUGUGCUCUGUUCCUUGAAGGCUGAAGUGAGAGCAGAACCUCUGAGCUUUCUGUUUUGAACAGCUCUACAAUGCCAAGAUAAAGUGGAACAGACCCUCCUCAUUGUCAGUGUGAAUUACGUGAUACUAGUAAAACAGAAACAGAGGAAAGACUUUGGCAAGAAGCUAUAAGAAGGAGAGAGGCUAUUUUCUCGUUGGAAAGAGCUGACUAUGAGAAAUCAGGUGCGCUGUUUGAUCUCUGCAGCUCUUCAGCCCUGCUCUGUUUUGACACCAGCUCUGCACUUGAUGCCUGAACCUCUGAUAUCUCCCUCAUGUCUGUGAGCCCCAUGUGCCCUCUAGGCAAAGAAACAGAGUGGAGAGAGGUGUUGGCAGGUCCAUAACAUGUAUUGCUCAAGCAAUGCAAGCACUGUGGGCACAGGGCCCAGUUCUUGGUGUGCAGCUCCGUGCUGGGAUGUGCAUAUUUUGUGUCCACGUUUGAGACACCUGUUUUUGAAAACAUAGCCCCAGGCCUUUAUUUUAUAGAUGCCGUCAGUGAUAAACUCUACCUCCAACCAGCCGAAGAAUGCAGCCAGAAGCAAGCGUGGCUGGCUGCAAGAGGAGCUCAUGAGCUCACCACAGAGUGCACUCACCCAGAGAUCUCCAGGUUUCUGGCUUGGAGACAUCCUGUGAGGGAACUCAGCACAAAUCCCUGCCACACGAUGGAAGCACAAAAAUGUUCUCAGCUAUGGGGAGCACUUCUAUACUAUCAAGGCAAUAAAAGCACUGGUUUUCACUGACUCUGCUGUCUGGACACCGAGUUCCCACAUUCUCUUUAGUGCUGAGACAGCACUCCCAAAUCCCACAUAUUGGUAGAUCCCUCAAUAUGAGGAAUCUGAAGCCGAAAAGAGCUCCAGAGCCAAGCAGCAGAGCCCAUGCCUCAUUCCCGGAGGCAGGACAACAGCAUCCACAUUAGGAUGGUGUGAGUGAAGUCAGGAAUUUAUCUACAAAAAAAAAAAAUAUGUCUGUAAGGUUCAGCAUCCCCAUCAGCUCUUUUUGGGGCUAUGCAAUUCACAUGGGAACAUCCAGCACCAGGAAUGGGAUGGAAUGGUCAUUCCUGAAAGAGGAGCAAUGGGGAAAUAAGAGGGUCUUUUAGGAUGUACAGAGAAGAAUGCUAGGCAGAAAAUAAAUUAGCUAAGGCUGGCUGAAGAGCCA
rnacentral:lncRNA from 1 species